AGGAGACCAGAAGAUGGCGCUAGAGCGGAAGGCCACGGCGGGCUCGGCCAAUGGCUGGCUCAGCCUGGAGGCGGAGGAGGCCACAGGGCGGCGGUCCUCCAUUCGGGGGACGUUGUUGUUGUGCCAGCCUGCCGUGAUGCGGCUCCCUGGGGAGGUGGAGUGGGGGGACCCUCCCUGGCACUGACUCUCCCCUCGGCCUAGGAAGCCUCCCCAGCGCGGCGGGCCUGGGGGGGCCUUUUACUUCUCAGCGGAGAAGGAGGCGGCAAAAUCUAGUAAAAGGCACAGAAAAGAGUGGGCUGGCCCACCGAAGGGGAUGGAGGGCUGUGCGGGGCAGAUCCGGAUUCAAAUCCUGAUUUCUUUCUUCGCCCAAGAUGGUGCACGUGGGCUCGUGAUAGGGGCUGCCACAGCGCCAGGGAGGAGGCGAGGUGGGCAACAGGAAGCAAGCAUGGCGACCGACCAGGGCGAAUUCUCGGUCCCUGAGGCUGCGGAUGCUCUCAGUGGGAAAACCCCAACCUUGUUCCUCCUCAUCUGACCUAGAGAUUAGGGACCUGCGUUUGGAGAUGAGCCCAGAGGGCUGGCUCAUUCCAUCCAGAAAAUAGGACCUUCUCGUGCCCUCCCGAUUGCCCUCACGAAGAGGAGGCUGGUUUCCCCUUCCAUGGUAGGGGAAGAAUGCAAACUCCAGGAAGAGCACUGGGUGUGGGCUCAGUGGACUUGAGUUCGAAUCUUCGCUCUGUCACCUACCUGGGUCACCUCAAAGAAUUUCCCUCAUUGGAUCUCGGUUUUCUCCUUUGAAAAUGAAGCAGUUGGUCCAGGUUCUCUUCAGAGUCCUUCCCAAACAGGGGUUGGCUGGAAAAUGUUUAACAAAUGGCUCUCCAAAAGGUACAUCAUUUUCUGUCUAGUCUGAACUGUUUCUACUUUCUGCACCACUUUCUUACUGUUAGGCCGUCAACAAGGCAACCAAUCAGGCUGAUUUGUCGGAUUUACCAAUUUCUGAGGCAAACAGGCCCACCAGGAAGAUUCGAUCAGCUCUUGGGGCCAGUUUGAGCAGGCUCCAGCCCAUUCCUGCUUCCAGCUCUCCGUCUGUGGUUUUGUGAGCCGACAGACACUAGAGGGGACUAGUAACAGCCGUUCACAUUGAUGAUGUUCACAUUGAUCUUCCCAGCAGCCUCGGGAGGUAGAUGGUGGCAACAUUCUUUUCCUCAUUUUACAGAUGAAGACACGGAGGCUUAGGAUAGGUAGUGACUUGUUCAAGGUCACCUAUUCACCACAUAACAGAGUCAGGAUUUGAUCUCAGGUCCCCCAGCUCCAAACCCAGCACCCUCCCCACUUUGGAACCCUUCGGUGGAUUCUCAGAUGGACACUGUCAAGGAGGAGUCGCCAUUUUCCAAUCCAGAUGCUUUUUUUCUCCACUUUCCGUAAAUGGGC
rnacentral:lncRNA from 1 species